UACAGAGGGGGCGAGCGUUAUUCGGAAUUAUUGGGCGUAAAGGGCUCGUAGGCGGCCAACUAAGUCCGACGUGAAAUCCCUCGGCUCAACCGAGGAACUGCAUCCGAUACUGGCGGGCUUGAAUCCGGGAGAGGGAUGUGGAAUUCCAGGUGUAGCGGUGAAAUGCGUAGAUAUCUGGAGGAACACCGGUGGCGAAGGCGGCAUCCUGGACCGGUAUUGACGCUGAGGCGCGAAAGCUAGGGGAGCAAACAGG
rnacentral:rRNA from 1 species